rnacentral:rRNA from 1 species
UACGGAAUGUGCAAACGUUAUUCGGAAUCACUGGGCUUAAAGAGUCCGUGGGCGGCUUGUUAGGUGAGGUGUGAAAUCCCACGGCUCAACCGUGGAAUUGCGCUUCAAACCGGCAAGCUUGAGGAGGAUAGAGGUGGGCGGAACUGAUGGUGGAGCGGUGAAAUGCGUUGAUAUCAUCAGGAACACCGGGGGCGAAAGCGGGUUGCUGGGCUGACACUGACGCUGAGGCGCGAAAGCCAGGGGAGCGAACGGG